rnacentral:rRNA from 1 species
GAGUUUGAUCGUGGCUCAGGACGAACGCUGGCGGCAUGCCUAACACAUGCAAGUCGAACGGAGAUUAUUUCGAUAAUCUUAGUGGCGAACGGGUGAGUAACGCGUGGGCAACCUGCCCUCUAGAUGGGGACAACAUCCCGAAAGGGGUGCUAAUACCGAAUGUGACAGCAAUCUCGCAUGAGGAUGCUGUGAAAGAUGGCCUCUAUUUAUAAGCUAUCGCUAGAGGAUGGGCCUGCGUCUGAUUAGCUAGUUGGUGGGUAACGGCCUACCAAGGCGAUGAUCAGUAGCCGGUCUGAGAGGAUGAACGGCCACAUUGGGACUGAGACACGGCCCAGACUCCUACGGGAGGC